UCCCAGUGGGACGGGACCGGAACACCUUCCCAGGAAGGCGUUCCAGAGGCAUUAGAAACAGGUGCCCAAGCCACCUCAGCUGACCCCUCUCGAUGUGGCGGAGCAGCGACUCUACUUUGAGCUCCUCCCGGGAGACCAAGCUUCUCACCCUAUCUCUAAGGGAUCACCCAGCCACCCUGCGGAGAAAGCUCAUUUCGGCCACCUGUAUCCGGGAUCUUGUCCUUUCGGUCAUGACCCAAAGCUCAUGACCAUAGGUGAGAGUAGGAACGUAGAUUGACCGGUAAAUCAAGAGCUUCGCCUUGCGGCUCAGCUCUUUCUUCACCACGACCAAACCGAUACAUCGACCGCAUUACUGCAGAAGCUGCACCGAUCCGUCUGUCAAUCUCCCGUUCCAUCCUUCCCUCACUCGUGAACAAGACCCCUAGAUACUUAAACUCCUCCACUUGAGGCAGGCACUCUCCACCAACCUGAAGUGGGCAAGCCACCCUUUUCCGACAGGACCAUGGCCUCGGAUUUGGAGGUACUGAUUCUCAUCCCCACCGCUUCACACUCGGCUGCAAACCGUCCCAGUGCAUGCUGAAGGUCCUGGUUUGUGCUAUAUAAAUAAAACAUGCUUGCUUGCUUUAACCCAAGUCAAUAAGUUCCAAUUUACUCCCAACAAUAGCUUCCAUCACAAGGCCCUACAGAAUAAGUUUAUUCUAAUAAGUGGUUGGGUUUUUUAAAUAAGCAGUAAUUCAGUUAUUCAUCUUUUAUUAAAUAUUACAUGAAGAAAUACUACCUUAGAAGAAAAAAUGACAUUCUGUUACAAUAAUGUUUAUUUAAAAUUCAAAAGCAUGAUUGACACGUCUGUGCCUUCAGCUUUUAUGAUAAGGCUAUCUUGCAUUCCAUUGUGCAUUCCACGGGAACCCUCCGCAAGCGGAGGCAGAAGCUCCUCGCCGAACCCCUCCGCACAUUGUUGCCAAAUCCUCAGUAAGGCAAGUCGCUAUUGGCUGUCCUAAAAGUCGCUAGAAGUCGCAAAAUGACGUCAUUGCCUAAUUUGCAUAAUUUCCCAUCAGCAAUGAUUUAUUUUAGACAAAGAACAUUUAAAUUUUACAUUACGGCCAGGAAAAGCCAGCGGGGGCUUCCCGCAUGCGCGAUUCAUUUUCAGUCUGGACGCGGAGGAGUUAACAUCUCCUGCUCUGACUGCAGCUCAGAGGAACAGCUGUGCGAGGACUGGGCCACCUGUGAGUGCUUUCAGAUAGGGGAGGGGCCCACGGCGGCACCCGCUGCUCGCUGAGAAGAGUAAGAACAAGUCUCCAAUAACACCACAAAAAGUUGCUAAGGGGGUCUGAAAAGUCGCUAAAUCUAGAUCCUCCUCGGACACCUCUGCAGGCGGAGGCAGAAGCUCCUGGCCGAACCCCUCCACAGAUGGAGGCAGAAGAUCCUCGCUGAACCCCUCUGUGGGCUCCUCGCUGGACACCUCCGCAGGCGGAGGCAGAAGAUCCUCGCUGAACCCCUCCGUGGGCUCCUCGCCGGACACCUCUGCUGGCGGAGGCAGAAGCUCCUCGCUGAACACCUCCAUGGGCUCCUCGCCGGACACCUCUGCAGGUGGAGGCAGAAGAUCCUCGCUGAACCCCUCCGUGGACUCCUCGCUGGACACCUCCGCAGGCGGAGGCAGAAGAUCCUCGCUGAACCCCUCCGUGGGCUCCUCGCCGGACACCUCUGCAGGCGGAGGCAGAAGCUCCUCGCUGAACACCUCCAUGCACUCCUCGCCGGACACCUCUGCAGGUGGAGGCAGAAGCUCCUCGCUGAACACCUCCGUGGGCUCCUCGCCGGACACCUUCGCGGGCCAAGACAGAGGCAGAAGCUUACCUGGACAAGUGGGGCCUGCCUCAAAGACAUAUUGACGUCGCCAUCAACUUUACAGUUUGAUAUUCCUGAUGAGAAGCUCCUCCCCGGACACCUCCAUGGGCGGAGGCAGAAGCUCCUCGCCAAACACCUCAGAGGGCCGAGACAGACACUCCUCGCAGAACCCCUCCGCGGGCAGAGGCAGAAGCUCCUCGCCGUACCCCUCCGCAGGGUUAGGCGAGGCACAGGGGAAACCAAACAGAACAUAGAAACAGACAAAUUAGAACUAAAAUGAAUAUAACAUAAGAACGUAACGAAACAGCCGGCACGGCACCGGUGACAUCGCUGAACCCCUCCGCGGGCAGAGGCAGAAACUCCUCCGAAACCUUCCGCGGUUGGAGGCAGAAGCUCCUCCCCAGACUCCCCCACGGGUAGAGGCAGUGGCAUACCUGUAUAAAACACAUAUUGAUGUCUCCAAGAACUUUACAGUUUGAUAAUCCUUAGAGUUUGACUAUGUACUAUGUA
ensembl:lncRNA